CCUACGGGUGGCAGCAGUGAGGAAUAUUGGUCAAUGGCCGAGAGGCUGAACCAGCCAAGUCGCGUGAGGGAAGACGGCCCUACGGGUUGUAAACCUCUUUUGUCGGGGAGCAAAGCGAACCACGUGUGGUUCAUUGAGAGUACCCGAAGAAAAAGCAUCGGCUAACUCCGUGCCAGCAGCCGCGGUAAUACGGAGGAUGCGAGCGUUAUCCGGAUUUAUUGGGUUUAAAGGGUGCGCAGGCGGAGGUGCAAGUCAGCGGUCAAAUUGCGGGGCUCAACGCCGUCGAGCCGUUGAAACUGGCGUUCUCGAGUGGGCGAGAGGUAUGCGGAAUGCGUGGUGUAGCGGUGAAAUGCAUAGAUAUCACGCAGAACUCCGAUUGCGAAGGCAGCAUACCGGCGCCCUACUGACGCUGAGGCACGAAAGCGUGGGUAUCGAACAGGAUUAGAUACCCCAGUAGUC
rnacentral:rRNA from 1 species